UUCCUGCAGAAUUUGAUUGCCUCUGCUGGUUUCCACUGGCUUGGAUUGGUGCUUACAACUUCCAGGGUACGUGGUUGUGGAUUGAUAGGGCAGGAUUCUACUACUCAAACUGGCUGUCACUGAGCAGUGUUUCCAGCUACCCUUGUGCCUACAUGAGAUCCAAUGCUGGCUGGUCAAACACAAACUGUGCAUCUACACUUUCUUUUGUCUGUUCUAUUAACCCAACCGUCUGUUGAAAAUACAUAAAUAAGUACAUUUCCACCAACACGGCAGACGAUUAUGAACACUAAGAGACUGAUAUCAAUAUUAUCAGCAUUUACAGUAUUACUGAUUUAAUUAAAUUGUUUUGAAAGCAGUUAAUUGAUUAAUGCUGUCUUUGUAUUCUUAAAAAUAAAAAGUCUAAUAUA